CAUCUCUCUCAUCUAUGCCGUUUUGACAAUUUCUGGCGAGCUUCCUCGUUGCGGCAGGAGCCCGGCGAACCGGCGCUCCGACUCCCCGCUCCUCCCGGCGGCGGCGAAAGCUGCUCCGGCGGCAGAUUCGCGCUUGCCCGGCGUCGUCUCCGGCGGCGGCGGCGAGGAGAGACUAGGGAAGCGAUGCAGGAGGGAGAAGGAAAGGGGCUUUUCAUCGUUCUUGAUUUUGUGGGAAGUCUGAGGCUGAGUUUGAAAGAUGGAGCGGGAAUGCGAAGAUUUUGCGGGGAUCUUGCCGGAGGAGGGAAUGGGGGUUGAGGAGUCGGAGUGCCGGUUCGCUGGAGGUCAUAUCCCUAACGGGGAAGCUCGCCGGAAGUGGCCAAGACGGUAUCUUGGUUUGGGCAGGGUAGUAGUCUUUCUUGAUUUUGCCUUUCUCUUUAGUAGUUUUCUCUCGAAUGCGAUUAGGCUCAGUGACUUGUGAUUGGGUUUUUGGUGCUGAUUUGUUAACCCAUUUCUAUCAAUAUGGUUUUCUUUGUGCCCUCGUUUCUGAAAGCGUUGAAGGAAGAGACAGAGGAGAGUUUUAGAAGUAUACAUACUGAACCCACUCCGGUUUUGUAUUCAGAAGUUGGCAGGUUCACCCUGGAUUCUCGUCAUGGUUUUGUUGUUGAAUAUGGAAUGGAUAGGGAUUUUGAAGCUGGCGGGUCAUUCAUUUUAUUUGAUCAUUAUCCAUUGUAUUGUACUAUCGACUUGGAGUUCUAAAUAGUAUGUAGCUGAAAAAAUUAUCUUUAAA